rnacentral:rRNA from 1 species
UGCGUAACGCGUAUGCAACCUACCAUCAACAGGGGGAUAACACUGAGAAAUUGGUACUAAUACCCCAUAAUAUCUCAUGCGGCAUCGCAUGGGGUUGAAAACUCCGGUGGUUGAUGAUGGGCAUGCGUUGUAUUAGCUGGUUGGUGAGGUAACGGCUCACCAAGGCGACGAUACAUAGGGGGACUGAGAGGUUAACCCCCCACAUUGGUACUGAGACACGGACCAAACUCCUACGGAAGGCAGCAG